rnacentral:tRNA from 1 species
GCUUGGGCUUGAAUAGUUUAAUAAAAACGUUGGUUUGUGGGGCCGAAGAUAUAAAUUUUAUUUUAAGCA